rnacentral:rRNA from 1 species
UGAGGAAUAUUGGACAAUGGGCGGGAGCCUGAUCCAGCCAUGCCGCGUGCAGGAAGACUGCCCUAUGGGUUGUAAACUGCUUUUGUACAGGAAGAAACACUCCCUCGUGAGGGAGCUUGACGGUACUGUAAGAAUAAGGAUCGGCUAACUCCGUGCCAGCAGCCGCGGUAAUACGGAGGAUCCAAGCGUUAUCCGGAAUCAUUGGGUUUAAAGGGUCCGUAGGUGGAUGAUUAAGUCAGAGGUGAAAUCCUGCAGCUCAACUGUAGAAUUGCCUUUGAUACUGGUUGUCUUGAAUUAUUGUGAAGUAGUUAGAAUAUGUGGUGUAGCGGUGAAAUGCAUAGAUAUCACAUAGAAUACCGAUUGCGAAGGCAGAUUACUAACAGUACAUUGACACUGAUGGACGAAAGCGUGGGGAGCGAACAGGAUUAGAUACCCUGGUAGUCCACGCCGUAAACGAUGGAUACUAGCUGUUCGGAUUUAUCUGAGUGGCUAAGCGAAAGUGAUAAGUAUCCCACCUGGGGAGUACGUUCGCAAGAAUG